AGCGAACGCUGGCGGCAGGCUUAACACAUGCAAGUCGAGCGGGCGUAGCAAUACGUCAGCGGCAGACGGGUGAGUAACGCGUGGGAACGUACCUUUUGGUUCGGAACAACACAGGGAAACUUGUGCUAAUACCGGAUAAGCCCUUACGGGGAAAGAUUUAUCGCCGAAAGAUCGGCCCGCGUCUGAUUAGCUAGUUGGUAGGGUAAUGGCCUACCAAGGCGACGAUCAGUAGCUGGUCUGAGAGGAUGAUCUGCCACAUUGGGACUGAGACACGGCCCAAACUCCUACGGGAGGCAGCAGUGGGGAAUAUUGGACAAUGGGGGCAACCCUGAUCCAGCCAUGCCGCGUGAGUGAUGAAGGCCCUAGGGUUGUAAAGCUCUUUUGUGCGGGAAGAUAAUGACGGUACCGCAAGGAUAAGCCCCGGCUAACUUCGUGC
rnacentral:rRNA from 2 species